UAGGGAAUCUUCCACAAUGGACGCAAGUCUGAUGGAGCAACGCCGCGUGAGUGAAGAAGGUUUUCGGACCGUAAAGCUCUGUUGUUGGUGAAGAAGGAUAGAGGUAGUAACUGGCCUUUAUUUGACGGUAAUCAACCAGAAAGUCACGGCUAACUACGUGCCAGCAGCCGCGGUAAUACGUAGGUAGCAAGCGUUGUCCGGAUUUAUUGGGGCGUAAAGCGAGCGC
rnacentral:rRNA from 1 species